CACGGGGUUGCGAGCGUUGUCCGGAAUUACUAGGCGUAAAGGGCAGGCAGGCGGAUCCAUAAGUUUAUCGUUUAAGGCGUCGGCUUAACCGGCGUAGGGCGGUAGAUACUGUGGAUCUGGAAUGCGGUUGGGGAAGACAGAAUUCCUGGUGUAGCGGUGGAAUGCGCAGAGAUCAGGAGGAAUACCGAAGGCGAAGGCAGUCUUCCAAGCCGUUAUUGACGCUCAACUGCGAAGGUGUGGGUAUCAAACAGGAUUAGAUAUCCUGGUAGUCCCU
rnacentral:rRNA from 1 species